GGGGCAGUAGCUCAGUUGGGAGAGCGUCUCGUUCGCAACGAGAAGGUCGCCAGUUCGAAUCUGGUCUGCUCCA
rfam:Candidate division Zixibacteria bacterium RBG_16_50_21 RBG_16_scaffold_5770, whole genome shotgun sequence.